UUUGAUCAUGGCUCAAAUUGAACGCUGGCGGAAUGCUUUCCUUUUGCAAGUCGAACGGCAGCACGGACUUCGGUCUGGGGGCGAGGGGCGAACGGGUGAGUAAUAUAUCGAAACGUGCCCAGUCGGGGGGAAUAACGUAGUGAAAAUUACGCUAAUACCGCAUACAAUCUACGGAUGAAAGCGGGGGAUCGCGAGACCUCGCGCGAUUGGAGCGGCCAAUAUCAAAUUAGGUAGUUGGUGAGGUAAAGGCUCACCAAGCCAACGAUCUGUAGCUGGUCUGAGAGGACAACCAGCCACACUGGAACUGAGA
rnacentral:rRNA from 1 species